GCCGGUUAGCGUUCAGACUUGAGGCGUUUAAACUUCCCGCCCACUAUUUUUCCGCUGCUAGCUUUGAGCCGAGGCGGAGAAGGCGUUAUUGCGCCUGCGCGGGCCUUUGUGGCGAGAGAUUUAAAUUUUAUUUGCUAAUUCAUACUCUCAUUCAAAUAGUGGCUGGUCGUCUGCAUACCUAGAAUCUAAACAUGGUCCCCUUGGCUUGAGGAGGCCCACCUGCCUACCACAGGGAGAAUCACCCGUGGACAUUGUGAGAUGAGAAAACUGAGUCUCAGAGAAGUUAAAUAACUUGCACAAGGACAUCCAUCAAGGUGAAAAGAGGGAAGAGGAGAAGUGGCCCGGGACGUAGGACUCCAUGAUGCCAGUGAUCCAGGUUCCUCCUCAUUGCAGUUCUGCCAUCCUCAGCUUGUGGGCUUCACAUCCUGGUCCAUGAUGACUGCUUCUGCUACACAUCUGCUAUUCCAGCCAGCAGAAAGAAGGAAGAAAUGAAGAAAGGCACAUGUGCCAGCAGUCACCUAUCGUUAUGGCAGUGAAUCUUCAUCUCCCAACCGAGAAUGGUCAAAAGGCAUCCUGAACCACGGCUGGUGUGGAAC